GAGUUGCUUAAAUGCGAUUCUUUGUAUACUAUUUACCCCCACCAACCCAGAGGUGCAUUGUGGCCUUUAAUUAGGUUAGCAGUGUAUCAGUACGUAUGACAAAGGCAACUUUGGCUUACAUUACAUAUAAGUUACCCCCCAUUUACACUUAAGAAGUUUUAAGAAUGAUACCUAUAACUAUAUAACUUUCAGCAAUGGAUCUCUAGGCUCUCACGUCGAUGAAGAACACAGUGAAAUGUGAUACGUAAUGUGAAUUGCAUAAUUCAGUGAAUCAUCGAAUCUUUGAACGCACUUUGCACCUUUUGGUUAUUCCGAGAGGUACGCCUGUUUGAAUGUCACGAAACCCCCCUCGUCUUUAACGCUUUCUAAAAGAGUUAUUGACGGAUUCUGAGUGUUGGCGUGUCAACGCCUCGCUUUAAAUAUAUCAGCACUUUUGGAUGGUUACAUGUUAGUUCAAAAGACGUACUUGAUGUCGUAUUUAUACAAUUCAUCGAGAUGGUCUUUGGUCGUAUCGACUAUCCGCUAAUAUGACGACUUGAAGAAUAGCUUCCUAACCCCAUUGAAUUUACCUU
rnacentral:rRNA from 1 species